rnacentral:rRNA from 1 species
UACGUAGGUGGCAAGCGUUGUCCGGAUUUACUGGGCGUAAAGGGCUUGUAGGCGGUUCGUUAAGUCUGGUGUGAAAUCUCCCGGCUCAACCGGGAGGGGUCAUCGGAUACUGGCGGACUAGAGACAGGUAGAGGAAAGCAGAAUUCCCGGUGUAGCGGUGAAAUGCGUAGAUAUCGGGAGGAAUACCAGUGGCGAAGGCGGCUUUCUGGGCCUGUUCUGACGCUGAGGAGCGAAAGCUGGGGGAGCAAACCGG